rnacentral:rRNA from 1 species
GAUGAACGCUGGCGGCGUGCUUAACACAUGCAAGUCGAACGAUGAAGCCCAGCUUGCUGGGUGGAUUAGUGGCGAACGGGUGAGUAACACGUGAGUAACCUGCCCUUAACUCUGGGAUAAGCCUGGGAAACUGGGUCUAAUACCGGAUAGGAGCGUCCACCGCAUGGUGGGUGUUGGAAAGAUUUAUCGGUUUUGGAUGGACUCGCGGCCUAUCAGCUUGUUGGUGGGGUAAUGGCUCACCAAGGCGACGACGGGUAGCCGGCCUGGGAGGGGGACCGGCGACACUGGGACUGAGACACGGACCAGUCUGCUACGGGGGGCAGCAGUGGGGAGUAUUGCACAACGGGCGCAAGCCUGAUGCAGAGACGCCGCGUGAGGGAUGACGGCCUUCGGGUUGUAAACCUCUUUCAGUAGGGAAGAAGCGAAAGUGACGGUACCUGCAGAAGAAGCACCGGCUAACUACGUG